AUUGAACGCUGGCGGCAGGCCUAACACAUGCAAGUCGAGCGAGGGGAGGUCGGGUGCGUAAUGCCUGGGAAUAUGCCUUAAUGUGGGGGAGAACUAUUGGCAACGAUAGCUAAUACCGCAUGCGCUUAGAUUAGCCCAGGUGAGAUUAGCGAGUGGGUGAGGUAAGAGCUCACCAAGGCGACGAUCUCUAGGUGGUCUGGGAGGAUGAUCAGCCACACUGGAACUGAGACACGGUCCAGACUCCUACGGGAGGCAGCAGUGGGGAAUUUUGCACAAUGGGGGAAAGCCUGAUGCAGCCAUGCCGCGUGUAUGAAGAAGGCCUUCGGGUUGUAAAGUACUUUCAGUAGGGAGGCGGUACCUACAGAAGAAGCACCGGCUAACUCCGUGCCAGCAGCCGCGGUAAUUC
rnacentral:rRNA from 1 species